UCGUGGCUGGAAAUCUGAGGGCUGUUACGACCCAAAUCUGGGGUGUGACUGGGUGCAACAAAGUUACGUCAGGACGAAGAUGUAAAAGGUGAAUACAGCACAUUUUAUUUACACAAACAUAGAACAUAGAAUAAAACCUGGA